UGUUAAAUUGACUGGUGAUGUCCCGUG
rnacentral:piRNA from 1 species